rnacentral:rRNA from 1 species
UACGAAGGGGGCUAGCGUUGCUCGGAAUUACUGGGCGUAAAGCGCACGUAGGCGGCUCUUUAAGUCGGAGGUGAAAUCCUGGAGCUCAACUCCAGAACUGCCUUCGAUACUGAAGAGCUCGAGUCCGGGAGAGGUGAGUGGAACUGCGAGUGUAGAGGUGAAAUUCGUAGAUAUUCGCAAGAACACCAGUGGCGAAGGCGGCUGACUGGUCCGGUUCUGACGCUGAGGCGCGAAAGCGUGGGGAGCAAACAGG